AAACAAUGUUUAUUAAUAAAAAUGUUGUUAUAAUUCUAUUUUAUUUCAAUUUUAUACUAAUAGAUGCCUCUACUUGAAUCAUUAUAUGAUCUGUCAGUAAUCCAACAAGAUUUCAAACCAAAUUAACUUAAUUAUACUUAAUUAAAUUAAAAAUUAAUUUUUAAGCCAACUAGUUCAAUUCUCCUUGGAUUUUAAAUAAGAAAAUUACAAGUUUUUCGUUUCUUGUGACCUUCUACCACCGAUAACCUGUUCGAAAGCGAAAGUGGUUUCGAUUUUUCUUAACUCGUCCUUUUUUUCUUAAUCAUCUUGUUCGUUUUUUUAAGCCGUUGUUAAUUUUUUUAUCCGUCGCGACGCCCAACCAACUUCGCCAGACUGCUCGGUGUCGUUAACUUUACCUCCCUCUUCCAUCCCGACCGACUUCUUGGCUUUCUCUUCGCCGAUCGAAGAAGAAGACGACGAACACCCAUUUUCGAUCGUUCCCUUCUGAUAAAAGCCGCAAUUCGUCGACGACUUGUUGCGUAAUUAUUACGCCAGAAGAUUGAUGCUCAACGGCUUCUCUUUUGCGCAAUCGAAACGAGACGAUCAAAAGAAGAAAUCCAACAACUACUGUUCAACAGAUAUUUUUUAGACUGCUAAAUAGGUUAUAAUUAUCAAACAAUAACAACAUGAAGUUAGUCAUAAAAAGAAGUUAUAGAAGAAUAAAACUAUAAUUAUUAAAGCAUAUAUAUAUUUAUAUAAUAUGAAUAAUUAUUUAGUAUAAGUUAAAAAUGUAUUAAUCUAUAACAUUUAGAUUAAAUUCAAAAUUGAAUUGUUUAAACAUGUUUUGUACCGUAUAAUAAAGUUAGGAACAUAACAUUUUGGAAUCGAA